rnacentral:lncRNA from 1 species
GUCCGCACCGGGGCGCCCUGCGCACACCCUUACCGCCCGGCGGCGUCCGCCGACCCCGGAGUCCUGGCCCGGGGCGCGGGAGUCCGGAGGGCAGGACCGGGACGCUCGCGCUGGCCUCCCGUGCGGUGGCGUGCGUGAGCGUCCCUUCCACUUCGGCAGCCCGCACCGCCUCCGUAGCCUCCCAGGUCUGGCCUCCUGCCCCCCUCCGAGCCCCACCGCGCGCCGACCCGGAUCCCGGGCGCCUCACGGCGCGGCUGCCAGCUGGGCCUGGCGCCGAGGCUCGGGCCCCCAAGUUGUGGGAGGACGCCGGGCCUGACUGUUACCAGAGGAGCCUCCUUCGGCACGAGCCUCGUCGCUGCCGCCUCGGGAAGGGAGGAGAGCGCAGCCGACCGGUGGCCUGACGCGGUCGCAUCACAGGUGUCUCAGUGGCCGCGCGCUUGGAGCAGGUCACAGACGUGCGCGCGGCGGCGAUCCGGGCUUCCCUGCGAGGCCGAGGCCCAGGCCGGCGGCCCGGUGCGUGGCGGGCGGCGAGGGGGCGCUGUGGCCCGCGACUGCGGCCUGCUGGGCUCCGCGCAGGGCAGGGCUCGCGUGGGAGAAGGAAGACACCGCGAGCGCUUCGGACCCGGCCGCUCCCACCGCUUCUGUUACUCUGGCCUUCCUUGGAGUGUGAGUUCGGUGAAAACAGAGCCACCAUCGUGGGCGGGUAGUUUUGCGGGCAGUUCAGGCUAAGUAAGCACAUUUCGCCUCGGCUCCCUUCAGUGAGGGAACGUGUAACCCGCGUGGCACUUCCCUCCGCCGCCGAGCCUCCUUCCCGGACUGCGGGCCCGCGUGGGCGUGGGGGAACGGCAAGAGGAGGGGGCGUGGCUUUGCAGUUUGCUUUUUCUUAAAACUGAAACUCCUCGUUACACAUCGUGCGAAAUCUGUCCGGCUGCAGCGUGUUCGCGACCCCCUCCUUCGAGGGCCAGCGGGCUGCACUUCGGGAUGGGAGCCAGCGGCCCCUGGGGAGGCGCGCCGUAUGGGUGCGUGGCGCCUGGACCCCUCCGCCCGAGGCAGCUCUCUUGGCAGCCCUGCCACGUGCAGCUGACCAUCUUCAGCCGCUGCGAGGGCUGCUCCUUGCGAACCUGCCGCUCCCGGUGUCCUCCUCCGCCUGGCGGACUCGGGCCUGUCCUCCUCCUCCACCUCCCUCAGCCCUGCGCCCCUCGGCGAUGACCUCGGGCGGGCUCUCCCGGCGGGUGCGGGCACCCUGGGCUGCAGAGCCGACCUUGCUUGGACGUGGACGGGCUGGAGUUCCUCUGAAGGAUCUGCAUUCCGGGAGACACUUUUAGGAACAGGAAGCCCGGCCCGGUUCUGGGCAGGCGGUAUCUGAGGACAACACCUUUGCCCUGCAGUGGAGCAGGCCGGGCCCACGCCCCAGAGCUCCCAGGGUGCUCUGGGCGAGUGGAGUCGUCGGGAUUUGUUUUGUUUUGUAAAAAUAUUUCUGCAAGACAGACCCCGGGAGAACGCAGCUCUGCGUGCAGCAGCCCUCGUGCAUUCCUGCUUCCGGACGCCAGAGCGCACCUCAGUGCAGGCCAGUGCAGCGCCCUGCUGCGGCACCGCGGGCCAUCCCCGGAGCAGGUAGGCAGACUCCGCCGCCGCCCGCCGGGAAGACGCGGGAAGCUCCGUCUGAUCGAGUAGUCAGGCCCUGAGGAGUGUUUGUCUGGGGCCGCGUUGCCCUUGGCCGCCCCUUAACUAGGUGUGCGCACCCAAAGCAGUUCGCCCUCCCCGUGGGCUGGGGUCGUGGUCCACACGAAUUCACCCUGCGCCCAAACUCCCCGAAGGACUUACACGCGUGAGACUGGGUCGGCAGGGCAGAGGAGGGUUGUUGUUUGUUUUUUUUUUGAACGUGGCAUGGAGUGCAGAAAUAUUUUUUAAAGGAUAUUCGUUACAAGUCAAACCCUCAGCAGGGCAGACCGCAGCUGCGACUGACAGGAGAGUUCUGCAGAGGACGGGUAAGGACACUGUGCAGAAUCCGUUCAGUGUCAGCAGAGACCCUGGGCCUGGAGCAGGGUUCACUUGUGCUGGGGAGACCCCUGGCAGGAAAAGAACCUCACGCCGCCUGCACCAACCAACAGGGCCUAGGGGUGCUGAGCCUGCACCCCUGGCUGUGACAGUUCUGGUUGCUGUGGGGAAAUUAGGGAAGCAUCCCCUCCUCACCUGCUGCCCUCUGCAGCGAAGAGGCCACUGGGGAGGGGAGCCGGGUGCUGCUCCAGGGCAGCGUGGAGGCACCGUGCGCAGUGUGGGCAGGAGAGCGCCUUGUCCCGCCACCCCGUGGGUCUGUGGCCUGGAGCGGCCCCCAGAGCCCACAUCCACCCACGGAAGAGGUCCCAAGGGCGGAAGAUGGGGGAGGAGAACACAGAGAAGACGGCCCCAGGUGAGAUUUAAAAGGCAGUCUCAGCUCUGUUGCUCUGUUCCCGAGGUUGUUUGUGAAGUUCGGCCUCAUGUUAGCCUCUCUUGGCCUGGGAGGCCAGGUGCAUGGGACUGCAGCACUGUUCUUUCCUGUGAUAUUGUAGAGAUUAAAGUUAAGUACUGUCAGCCAGCUGUGUGGUGCCCCUGUGUAAUCCCAGCGCUCAGGAGGCUGAGGCAGGAGGAGUGCCGUGAGUUCAAUGCCAGGCUGAAGUAUGUAGUGAGACCCUGUCUCGAAAAAAAUAAUCAAGUACUAGCUUUUAAAAGAAGCAUUAUAAAUGCAGGAGUAUAAUAUGCUAGUUUGGGAAAACUUGGUUGAAGAUAUCACUUUCUUAAACAUUUGCGUUUGAUUUUUUUCUCUGCUCUCUCCAUUCCUCCGCCAUUGCAACCUCAGGCCCUGGCGGCUAAGGCCCUGGGGAUGCAGGGCUGGGAGUUGCACGCUUUCAUGCUGCCACGCUGCACGUGCUUCUCCAUGUCACUGUGAACGCACUUUGGGUGAGCAUAUUGUAGAAGUCAGCCAUGGAUUAAAGCCAGGACUGCAGAAAGGCAGGAGGACAGGGAAGGGCCAGGGAGGCAGGGAGAAGACCUGGUCAGGCGGCUCUGCUGGGCCCUGGCCCGGGCCCUUCCCCCUCUGCGUCUCUGCUCCGGCAGACCGGGUGCAGUGUUCUGGGCCCCUCCACCCGCGCUGCCUUCCCUGCAGCCCCAGAACGGGAUCUCCACACACUGCCCGGCUCACCACCCCUGCACAGUGGACGAGGUCUUGGCCUGGCUCACUUGGGAAUCGCCAGACCUCCCCGUGUUCACUCCACUCCGACCUGUUCACUGGAGGCCGGGACGGAGCAGAGGGCUGGCGCCUGCUGCACCCCGCUCCCCUGCGCUGGGCACCCUGACCUCUCACCUCCUGCACACAGCAGGCCACCUCCCAGGCCAGCGCCCCCUCCUUGGAGGCUUCAACCUCAAGACUCUUGUGCUGCUGCCUCCUGGCUGCUGAGGCAGCCACUUCCAGGGACGCUGGCUCUCCCUUCCUGCCCCCCACCCUGCCCGGCACGCUUGGCACUGUGGGCAUAGGACAGGCACCGAGCAGAUGCAUGGACGCAUGUGUGACUGGCCCUUGGCAACUCACCUUUCUGCCAAAAGCGAUAGCAGGGCUUGUGGGUGAGAAACAACGAUGACGUGGACGCCUGCGUACAGUCCCCACUGCCUGCUGCUCCGGCGGCCUCCCCACACCUGGUCAUUGCUACGUUUCCAUCUGAUGUUUUCCGGAUGACCCCCACAGCCUCAGGACAUCUUCAGUGGGGCUGCAGGGAGGCGACUGCAUUGUGGGGGCUGAUGGCUGGCUUGCUGUUGGGAGGGGCCGUUGGAGGACACAGGUCACUGGGGGCGUGGCCCAGAAGGGUCUGCCUUCCUCCCUCAUCUCCCUGCUUCAUCUACACCCCUGCCACGAGCAGCUCUCCUCUGCCAGGCCCCUCUGGCCUGCACCCUGCCCUCGGAGCCAGCUGACUAUGGACUGAAGCCUCCACAGACUGGGAACCGACAUAAACCUCUCCUUAUAGUUGAGGCUGUCCAGUGUCGUGUUCUAGCAACAAAACAGGUGACUAAGACAGUCACGGCCACUGCAAGGAAGCCGGUCCAAGCACAUCACUCCUUGGCAGCCCCAAGUUUUAAGACCAACAGAUACAGACAUUUAAAAUCACAUUUAAUUCUAAAAUUCCCGCUUGGCAAUCCAAUCUUGGAGGACAGGAAUUGCCCCUGACCUUCCUGCCCCCAGCACAUGGCUGUGAACUGAGUGAAUGAUGAAGCUGCAUGUUGACAUUUGGGAAGAGGAAACUUAAGAGCAAACCGGACUUGGAGGAUAUUUUCAAUACAAAUUCAGAGCGGGCCUGUGUUAGAAACCAAUGUAAAAAAGUCAUGUAGGCCCCAGCAAGGUUUUCAUAGACUGCGUGAGCUUAUGCUUAAGUAAGCAUGCAAAAGCUAAGGCUUCAGAAGAGCUCAAAGAGCUUUUAAGCAGCAGAAGAGAGUGGGAGGACUCAGCCUACCUGACCCUGAGAUGAGUGGAUGUCAACAUGAGGAUCGGUUUGUGGUGGAGGGUGGACACAGGCCAGCAGAGCAGAGCGGACAACCCAGAGGGGCCUGUGCUCACGGGGGCCCCAUUAGUUAUUUCCUAGCUCUGGGUUUGAGCCCAGGGCGUCACACCUGCGAGGUCCGGCCUCCAUCACUGAGCCCGCCCCCAGCCCCAUUUGCUUUUGCGGGGGAGGGAUUCAGCCUUUUAGCAACUGGAGCUGGAGCAAAGGGGCAACACUAAGACAGCAAGUUUUACAAAAGAGUUUCUUCACACAGCCAGGCGUGGAGGAGGAGAGCCAGGCUCAGCCUCCUCCCAGAGGGCAGGGCUUAGGGACAUUCAUGGAAGGAGUAGGAUGGCCUAAGGCGUGGGGAGGCCAGGGGCACAGGGGAGGUUGGCGGUGGGCUGCACGGCUCCUCAGAGGACACACGUCUGGAUAACACGGCACUGACAGAGCAGAGGGUGCAGCUCUUGACCCCUGGGUGUUGAAGAAGUCAUCUGUGACCCUGCACAGCCCCAUGCUCAGAGCUGGGGCCCUGCCAAAGUAGCCGGGCAGCCCAGAUGCCCAUUGCCUACCCCCAGCUGGUCACCUGCAGAGGAGGUGGCUGGUCAGUGACACCAUGCGCAUCUUCCUGACCUCCAAAAUGCAAGACUUUCAAAGUCACCUAAAAGCAAGUAACAAUGCAAGUGUCCCUCAGUUUCAGACCUGCAGUUCCCUGCUUGACCGCCGGACCCUGCUCCUGAAGAGAGGAGUCGCUGGGUGCGGCCUCUCAAUGUCAGGCGUCUUUGCAGAGAGCCGCCCUCCCGGAGAGGUGCUCACGGGGGCCUGGACCUGGCCUACGUCCCUGCCGGUGAGCGGCACUGUGUGCAGGUGGACUGCGCUUCAUCACCCUUUGGCUGCUUUAGACUUGUGAGCUGUUCCCAGUGCUCGGGCUGUUUUGGAAAACAGACGAACACUGCUUUGACUUCUUAGUGCAGCCCUCUAUGACAACUUUUCAUUCAUCCUGGGUGAAACCCUAGGAGUGGAGCAG